GCUCCACCCAUCGUCUGCCCAUACCUCAUAGAUGCCAAAGCCAAUGGUGUGCAUGUCCUCGCCCAUCUUCCUCUGCCGCCGUCGGUGCUUCUGGAUGAGACCCACCAGGAAGGUCCCAGGCAUCAGGCUUGGCGCCAAGUGAUGCCUGCUAGGCCAUCUCACUAGCCUGUGGGGUGUGUUUUCCCCCAGAGGGCCCAAUAGCAGAGUGAACGUGAGCUGGAAAAGGAAGGAGGGACCACGGACCUGACCGUGAGCUGAUCCAAAGAGUAAAAGAACGCCUGUAGCUGCCGCUGUGACCAGCAGGGGGCAGCGCGCGCCAGGCAGCUGCCGCCCUGGAGGCCCCACCCCCGGACAGCCACGUGCUAGCAGGAGCCGUACCUCCUCGGCUCCGGUGACGGAGUACGCAUGUCCUUUCACCAACUUCUGUGAGUGCACCAGCAGCACCAGCAGCACCAGCAGCACCAGCAGCACCAGCAGCACCAGCACCUGAGGCUCCCGCUGCAGAGGGCUGACAUUCGGGGUGGACCCAGCACGACUUUGGGCCAGCUGGGUGAUACACAGCUAGGACUAGAACCAGGAAGCCAUUCUUACCAACCACCUGAUUUAUUCUGGGUGAGUUUCUACAGUUUUUCUACCUCUGCAAUGGGUAGCUUUGCCCACUGGCAGAAGCUUUUGGCCUUUUCAGCUAAGAGGCAAGGGGGGCCCAUCAGAGGAGCAGAGUUCCUUCUCAAGGCCAGAGCAGUCAGCCCCAGAAUGUUUCAGUUCACUUGCUCAAAAAGAGCAAUGACUGUCCUGUACCAGUACAUCAUGUGACCAGCCGCCAUACCCAUAUUACCUCCUUGAAUUAAGAGCCAAAUUUGGGCCAAAGUCAUCCUUUUAUAGAACAGAAUGUCUAUUCAAAACAGUCCCCGAAAUAGCUCCCGCUGUUUUGGAGUCCAGGGCAGCAGAGGCAAGAUGGGGUGUUGGGGAAGGGUGUGGUUACUUACUUGGCAUAGGCUUUCUCCAGAAGGGCACUCCAGAACUCACUCCCUUCAGCUGAAUGCACAAAGAGCAGCUCCCCGUCCUUUGUGGGCAGCCUGUCGUCCACCACCACCUCCACCCACUCGCCAUACUGCCAGAACUGCAGGGCAAGAGGGACAAGAUAGGGUGGCACUGGGACUCUGAGCCUUGGCCUCAUCUGGCUCUCCCCAGCCCAGCCCCUUGCUGUCAGUUCCCAUGAUGCUCUUUGGUGUCCUAUGUUAAGUGUGUGUCCCACCAAGCAAGAAGUCAGCAGAGCUCAUCUGUGUGUCCAAAGCCACGUGCACGUCUUUUAAAAAUAUCAUCUCUCACUUGCGAUCUUAAAAGGAAGCUUUUUAACCUUUUAUCUCAAAUCUCAAAUAAUAAACAUUAAAAAAAACU
rnacentral:lncRNA from 1 species